CGGCAUUAGGACGGUUGAGAACCCUGCUUUAGAAGGAAGAAUAUAACCAUAACAUGCUACAUGAAAAAAGGAGUUCGCAGGGCUCCCAACCUUCCAGUAGAGGUUGAGAAGUAGUAUAUUUCUCAUAUAUUU
rnacentral:snoRNA from 1 species